AGAGUUUGAUCCUGGCUCAGGACGAACGCUGGCGGCACGCUUAACACAUGCAAGUCGAACGAGAGAAGAGAAGCUUGCUUUUCUGAUCUAGUGGCGGACGGGUGAGUAACACGUGAGCAAUCUGCCUUUCAGAGGGGGAUACCGAUUGGAAACGAUCGUUAAUACCGCAUAAUAUAAUUGAACCGCAUGAUUUGAUUAUCAAAGAUUUAUCGCUGAAAGAUGAGCUCGCGUCUGAUUAGCUAGUUGGUAAGGUAACGGCUUACCAAGGCGACGAUCAGUAGCCGGACUGAGAGGUUGAUCGGCCACAUUGGGACUGAGACACGGCCCAGACUCCUACGGGAGGCAGCAGUGGGGAAUAUUGCACAAUGGAGGAAACUCUGAUGCAGCGAUGCCGCGUGAGGGAAGAAGGUUUUAGGAUUGUAAACCUCUGUCUUCAGGGACGAAAAAAGACGGUACCUGAGGAGGAAGCUCCGGCUAACUACGUGCCAGCAGCCGCGGUAAUACGUAGGGAGCGAGCGUUGUCCGGAAUUACUGGGUGUAAAGGGAGCGUAGGCGGGAUCGCAAGUCAGAUGUGAAAACUAUGGGCUUAACCCAUAAACUGCAUUUGAAACUGUGGUUCUUGAGUGAAGUAGAGGUAAGCGGAAUUCCUAGUGUAGCGGUGAAAUGCGUAGAUAUUAGGAGGAACAUCAGUGGCGAAGGCGGCUUACUGGGCUUUAACUGACGCUGAGGCUCGAAAGCGUGGGGAGCAAACAGGAUUAGAUACCCUGGUAGUCCACGCCGUAAACGAUGAUUACUAGGUGUGGGGGGACUGACCCCUUCCGUGCCGCAGCAAACGCAAUAAGUAAUCCACCUGGGGAGUACGACCGCAAGGUUGAAACUCAAAGGAAU
rnacentral:rRNA from 2 species